ACAGUCACACAUUAGAUACCCGUGUAGUCCUGGCCGUAAACGAUGUGGACUUGGUNUUGGGAUGGCUCCGAGCUGCCCCAGUGCCGAAGGGAAGCCGUUAAGUCCACCGCCUGGGAAGUACGGUCGCAAGACUGAACUUAAAGGAAUUGGCGGGGAGCACCACAACGCGUGGAGCCUGCGGUUUAAUUGGAUUCAACGCCGGACAUCUCACCAGGGUGACAGCAGAAUGAUGGCCAGGUUGAUGACCUUGCUUGACAAGCUG
rnacentral:rRNA from 1 species